rnacentral:rRNA from 1 species
AGAGUUUGAUCAUGGCUCAGAACGUACGCUGGCGGCACGCCUAACACAUGUAAGUCGAACGAAGUAGCAAUACUUAGUGGCAGACGGGUGAGUAACAUGUAGGUAUCUGCCCUUUGGCCUGGAGUAACACGAGGAAACUUGUGCUAAUACCGGAUAAGUCUUUACAGAGAAAGCUUUAUGCACCAUUGGAUGAGCCUGCACUUGAUUAGUUUGUUGGUGGGGUAAUGGCCUACCAAGACUGUGAUCAAUAGCUGAUUUGAGAGGAUGAUCAGCCACAUUGGGACUGAGACACGGCCCAAACUCCUACGGGAGGCAGCAGUGGGGAAUCUUGCACAAUGGAGGAAACUCUGAUGCAGCGAUGCCGCGUGAGUGAAGAAGGCCUUUGGGUUGUAAAGCUCUUUCGUCGGGGAAGAAAAUGACUGUACCCGAAUAAGAAGGUCCGGCUAACUUCGUGCCAGCAGCCGCGGUAAUACGAAGGGACCUAGCGUAGUUCGGAAUUACUGGGCUUAAAGAGUUCGUAGGUGGUUGAAAAAGUUGGUGGUGAAAUCCCAGAGCUUAACUCUGGAACUGCCAUCAAAACUUUUCAGCUAGAGUAUGAUAGAGGAAAGCAGAAUUUCUAGUGUAGAGGUGAAAUUCGUAGAUAUUAGAAAGAAUACCGAUUGCGAAGGCAGCUUUCUGGAUCAUUACUGACACUGAGGAACGAAAGCAUGGGUAGCGAAGAGGAUUAGAUACCCUCGUAGUCCAUGCCGUAAACGAUGUGUGUUAGACGUUGGAGAUUUAUUUUCAGUGUCGCAGCGAAAGCGAUAAACACACCGCCUGGGGAGUACGACCGCAAGGUUAAAACUCAAAUGAAUUGACGGGGACCCGCACAAGUAGUGGAGCAUGUGGUUUAAUUCGAAGAUACGCGCAGAACCUUACCAACACUUGACAUGUUCGUCGCGACUUUAAGAGAUUAAAGUUUUCGGUUCGGCCGGACGAAACACAGGUGCUGCAUGGCUGUCGUCAGCUCGUGUCGUGAGAUGUUGGGUUAAGUCCCGCAACGAGCGCAACCCUCACUUUUAGUUGCCAUCAUUAAGUUGGGCACUCUGAAAGAACUGCCAGUGAUAAGCUGGAGGAAGGUGGGGAUGACGUCAAGUCCUCAUGGCCCUUACGUGUUGGGCUACACACGUGCUACAAUGGUAUCUACAACAGGAAGCAAGACUGCGAAGUUAAGCAAAUCCUUAAAAGAUACCUCAGUUCGGAUUGCACUCUGCAACUCGAGUGCAUGAAGCUGGAAUUACUAGUAAUCGUGGAUCAGCGUGCCACGGUGAAUGCGUUCCCGGGUCUUGUAGA